GGCGGAGAGAUAAGCAAGUUCUUCGGAACGAGCUUAUGUCUCAGCGGCGAACGGGUGAGUAACGCGUGGGUAACCUGCCCUAAAGACCGGGAUAACAGCGGGAAACCGCUGCUAAUACCGGAUGAGUUUGCUUUUUCGCAUGAGGAAGCAAAGAAAGGAGCAAUCGCUUUAGGAUGGACCCGCGUCCCAUUAGCUAGUUGGUGAGGUAACGGCUCACCAAGGCGACGAUGGGUAGCCGGCCUGAGAGGGUGAACGGCCACACUGGGACUGAGACACGGCCCAGACUCCUACGGGAGGCAGCAGUAGGGAAUUUUGCGCAAUGGGGGGAACCCUGACGCAGCGACGCCGCGUGAGCGAAGAAGGCCUUCGGGUCGUAAAGCUCUGUCCUAUGGGACGAGAGAGGACGGUACCAUAGGAGGGAGCCCCGACUAACUACGUGCCAGCAGUCGCGGUAAUACGUAGGGGGCGAGCGUUGUCCGGAAUUACUGGGCGUAAAGGGUGCGUAGGCGGGCUGUCAAGUCUGAUGUGAAAGGUUGCGGCUUAACCGUGAGAAGGCAUUGGAAACUGGCAGUCUUGAGUGCAGGAGAGGGAAGCGGAAUUCCCGGUGUAGCGGUGGAAUGCGUAGAUAUCGGGAGGAACACUAGUGGCGAAGGCGGCUUUCUGGACUGUAACUGACGCUGAGGCACGAAAGCUGGGGGAGCAAACAGGAUUAGAUACCCUGGUAGUCCCAGCCGUAAACGAUGGAUACUAGGUGUUGGCGGUUCAGACCGUCAGUGCCGGAGCUAACGUGAUAAGUAUCCCGCCUGGGGAGUACGGUCGCAAGACUGAAACUCAAAGGAAUUGACGGGGGCCCGCACAAGCGGUGGAGCAUGUGGUUUAAUUCGAAGCAACGCGAAGAACCUUACCAGGGCUUGACAUC
rnacentral:rRNA from 1 species